CGCGUAGGCGGUUUGGCAAGUCUGGUGUGAAAUCCCACAGCUCAACUGUGGAACUGCAUCAGAAACUGCCUGACUAGAGUGCGGGAGAGGAGAGUGGAAUUCCCAGUGUAGAGGUGAAAUUCGUAGAUACUGGGAGGAACACCGGUGGCGAAGGCGGCUCUCUGGACCGCAACUGACGCUGAGGCGCGAAAGCUAGGGGAGCGAACG
rnacentral:rRNA from 1 species